AAAAAACCCGAAAAAAGUCGCUGACCCCAGCUGCCAAGAAAAUUCUCGUUCAGCUAUACACGCGACGUGACCGUACCGCAAACCGACACAGGUAGGUGGGGUGAGAAUCCUAAGGCGCUUGUGAGAACUCUCGUUCAGGAACUCGGCAAACUAGCCCCGUAACUUCGGGAAAAGGGGUGCCUCGCUCCGGCGAGGUCGCAGAGAAAUGUCCCAGGCGACUGUUUACUAAAAACACAGGUCUCCGCAAAGUCGUGAAGACGACGUAUGGGGGCUGACGCCUGCCCAAUGCUGGAAGGUUAAAAGGAGUGGUUAGUCGCAAGGCGAAGCUACGAAUUGAAGCCCCAGUGAAUGGCGGCCGUAACUAUAACGGUCCUAAGGUAGCGAAAUUCCUUGUCGGGUAAGUUCCGACCUGCACGAAUGGCGUAACGAUCUGGGAGCUGUCUUAACGAGAGGCACAGCGAACUUGUAGUACCGGUGAAGAUGCCGGUUUCCCGCAUCUAGACGGAAAGACCCCGUGCACCUUUACUACAACUUGAUAGUGGGUUCGGGCAAACGAUGCGCAGGAUAGGUGGGAGGCUUUGAAGCCAGGCUCUUGGGCUUGGUGGAGCCAACGGUGAGAUACCACCCUUCGUUUGUCUGGACUCUAACCUAGGGCCGUAAUCCGGUUCAGGGACACUUUCAGGCGGGUAGUUUGACUGGGGCGGUCGCCUCCCAAAUUGUAACGGAGGCGCUCGAAGGUUGGCUCAGGCUGUUUGGAGAUCAGCCGCAGAGUGUAAACGCAUAAGCCAGCUUGACUGUGAGACAAACAAGUCGAACAGGUACGAAAGUAGGAGUUAGUGAUCCGGCGGUUCUGUAUGGAAGGGCCGUCGCUCAACGGAUAAAAGGUACGCCGGGGAUAACAGGCUGAUCCUGCCCAAGAGUUCACAUCGACGGCAGGGUUUGGCACCUCGAUGUCGGCUCAUCGCAUCCUGGGGCUGAAGAAGGUCCCAAGGGUUUGGCUGUUCGCCAAUUAAAGCGGUACGUGAGCUGGGUUUAGAACGUCGCGAGACAGUUCGGUCCCUAUCUGGUGUGGGCGGAGCAGGAUUGAGGGAAUCUGUCCUUAGUACGAGAGGACCGGGAUGGAUCCACCUCUAGUGUACGAGUUAUGGCGCCAGCCGUAGCGCUCGGUAGCUAUGUGGAGCAUGGAUAAACGCUGAAUGCAUCUAAGCGUGAAGCCAGACCCAAGAUUAUUCCUGCCAGUGAGACUCCUUGUAGACCACGAGGUUAAUAGGGUGGAUAUGUAAGUGCAGUAAUGUGCUCAGUUGACCACUACUAAUCAGUCCCUUGGCUUGACCU
rnacentral:rRNA from 1 species